rnacentral:misc_RNA from 1 species
UACAGAGGGUGCGAGCGUUAAUCGGAUUUACUGGGCGUAAAGCGUGCGUAGGCGGCUUUUUAAGUCGGAUGUGAAAUCCCCGAGCUUAACUUGGGAAUUGCACUCGAUACUGGCAAGCUAGAGUAUGGGAGAGGAUGGUAGAAUUCGAGGUGUAGCGGUGAAAUGCGUAGAGAUCUGGAGUAAUACCGAGGGCGAAGGCAGUCAUCUGGCCUAAUACUGACCCUGAGGUAUGAAAGCAUGGGGAGCAAACAGG